rnacentral:rRNA from 1 species
AUGAAGAACUUGAGAGUCUGCCGUGACUGUCAUUUAGCUAUGAAAUAGAUAUCGAACAGUGAAAACAAAGAAAUAAUCUUGAGAGACGCGGUUCGCUUCCACCACUUCAGAGAUGGCACAUGUUCUCGUGCAGAUUACUGGCAGUGUGUACCACUGCAAGUGGUUCCCAUGUUGAACCUUUGA